UUCGUGGAAAGGCAGGCCUCUCCUGGCGAGUCAAGCCUCCUUAUCGUAGUCGAGCGUCUGGUCUUCUGUCCUUUACGUUUUAUUUGUUUUUCUUCGUACGAACAGAUGGGCGAGCAAGACGACGCCGUUUUGCAUCCUCCAUUUUGUCGUUUAUGUGCGUCUCUCCAACGCUUGUGCUUCUGCGUCUAUAGUGUGCGUGGGAUACGGGUGCAUGAACCUUGCAUGUGUUGCCUCUGUCCAUUGCAGCUAUUUUGUCUUUUUGCCUUAUUCAGCUUCGUAGCUACGCCUUUCCUCUUUUGUUUGUUUCGGGUGUGAGGUUUUCUUGGGCUACGAGGUUCACAUAUUUUUCCUAUCAAUUCACCCACUGAUCAUCUUCGUUUCCUCGGUCUCAGCUUCGUUGGUUUUUUCUACACUGAUUGUCUCUCUUAUUUUCGGUUGUUUUUCUCCUUCCGCAGUUGUUGCACUUCUUCAUCUUGGUUUGGGUUAUUUGAUUUCAAUGUCGAAAUUACAAUUGCAGGGUUUGUGCAAGGUUAUCGAAGUUGUUUACGCCGAGCUUCGUUGGUUCUUCCUUCAUCGAAAGUGGUGAGUUUGUCGGAGAUUGUUGAAAGCGUCUGCCAUCUACGUUUGACGAAACUGCUGGUAAGUUGAUUUCCGUUGGGGGUGAUGGUCUUGCUUUGUUUUGGACUCAUGUUCUGCUUUGGGUUCUUCCCAUAUCCUUCUGAUUAUGAUGAUUAUUAUAAUUAUAUUCCUUCAAAUUUGUAUGAAAGUAUGCUUGAUUUGUGUUGUUUGGUUAGUGCAUACAUAGGAACUUAUGUUAUCCUUUUGUCUGUUAAUUUUAAUCCUCUUUCGCCAUUCUCUUGGAUUCCAAAAUAAAUUCCCCUUCGACGCCUUGCACGGGUGUUCAUCAACAAAGGGGACUGAUUUGGCAACUCAAUUUGUGCAUCUUCAAUUGUGAGGUAAAUGUGCUCUCUUAUUGAUCUUUGUGCAUAACUUUUUCCAUCUUUACUGUUACAAUUAUAUCCAUGUUAAUUGUUUAUAGUUUUUGUAAUUACUGCUAAGUAUUUACGAGGCUUAACAUCCUAUUUGAUUCAAUUCUUAUAAUGCUAUGCAAUGCAAUCCGAAAUUGUACCGAUUGACUUUGAAUUUCAAUGUUUUUUUUGUUCAUCAAUUGUUUCGGGUCUUCGAUUUUGUGUUUCUGCUUUUGGUUUUGUGAAAAUUUUACAGUCUCGGGGCAGCUAUACCAACAGAUGCCUGCAACACGAUUUAGGAUUUUCUUCUCUUCUAAGUUCUAAGCUAGGUCCUGGAUGGAUGCUAUGAGGGAUAUCAGUGAGACAAAUGAGACAUCAACGUCCUCAAAG